rnacentral:miRNA from 1 species
UGAUUCAAUGAUAAGGUUC